rnacentral:rRNA from 1 species
AACGAACGCUGGCGGCAUGCCUAACACAUGCAAGUCGAACGAGACCUUCGGGUCUAGUGGCGCACGGGUGCGUAACGCGUGGGAAUCUGCCCUUGGGUUCGGAAUAACAGUUGGAAACGACUGCUAAUACCGGAUGAUGACGUAAGUCCAAAGAUUUAUCGCCCAGGGAUGAGCCCGCGUAGGAUUAGCUAGUUGGUGGGGUAAAGGCCUACCAAGGCGACGAUCCUUAGCUGGUCUGAGAGGAUGAUCAGCCACACUGGGACUGAGACACGGCCCAGACUCCUACGGGAGGCAGCAGUGGGGAAUAUUGGACAAUGGGCGAAAGCCUGAUCCAGCAAUGCCGCGUGAGUGAUGAAGGCCUUAGGGUUGUAAAGCUCUUUUACCCGGGAUGAUAAUGACAGUACCGGGAGAAUAAGCCCCGGCUAACUCCG